AAGAAAUUAAAGGGUGAGGAUGCUCUGCUUUAUGAUAACAAAAGGACCCUUUUUGUGGGUAACCUCCCAUUUGAUGUGAAGGAUGAAGAAAUUUAUCAGCUUUUUUCUGAUAUCAAAGAUCUUGAGUCUAGUAUUGAAGCUGUUCGGGUUGUUAGGCAUCCUCAUAUUGGUCUGGGGAAAGGUAUCGCAUAUGUAUUGUUUAAAACAAGGGAAGCAGCAAAUUUGGCAUUGAAGAAAAGAAACUUGAAGAUUCGAAAUCGAGAGUUGAGGCUCUCUCAUGCCAGACAAGAUAGUACACCAUCUAAGAGAAAGAAGUCUUUCACUGCUGACUCACCAACCAAGAGAUUGGCAGUCGAUUUGAGGACUCCUGACAGAAACAGUGGAUCAAAUACAAAGGAUUCUUCCAUUUCCUACCAGGGUUUUCGUGCUAGCAAAUCUGGCGUUCAAAAGAAAUUGAACAAUCCAAAACGCAAUCGAGCCCUAAGGAUGAAAUCCAAGAAUCAGCAAGGAGAGAAGAGCAAGGAAAAAAGACCAGCUGUUGCAGCAAGAAAGGCAAAAGCAAAAGCACGUCAAGAUAGUGGCACUGCAAAACAAGCAGGUCAAAAGCGCAAGCUGGAUAGCCGGACUCCACAAAGUUUCAACGCGAAGAAGAAAGCCAGAAAAUUUAGGUAGUAACACAAGAAAUGCUUCGUAGUCAUGCGUUACUCAUCUUCUUUACAUUUAUGUUGGUUUGCUUAUUUAGUGUAUUUCGUGUGAAAGUGAAAUCAUAUGAUAUAUUUAUGUUUUUAAAAUAUUAUUAUUUUAAAUGUUCUUUGAAGUAAGUUGAAAGGAAUAUUUUC
rnacentral:misc_RNA from 1 species